rnacentral:lncRNA from 1 species
CUUUAAUUGAAAUUCAAAAUCCAUCUUUCUCAUGCCCAUCUUUCUCUCAUAUAACUAUGUGGACAACCUACUUCUUUCCUGAAAAAUCCAUACUCUAAAUGGUAUCCAUUCAGAGUGUAUUUUAUGUGCAUGUCCUCGUGCAUCAUAAAAUACUGUGCCUUAUUAAUAGAUUGUAUUUAAAUACACUUCUUCUACAAUUUUAAUAUUCCCUUCCUAAUAAAAAUCAGACUCUAAAUUUUUAAAUUUUUUUCCAUUUUGAUCUGACUCUCUUUCUUUUGUUUUAAUUGUCAUCUCACCAUCCUUUUGGUUGGGAAAAAAAAUAUUUUACAUCUACUCACAAGCUUUCUUGUCACAAAUUACUGAGUGCAUCCAACAUUUUUCGUUUCGUUUAUUAACUAAACAUUCUUGUAGCUUGAUUUUCUGACAACUCCUUUUUCAUACUCAUUCUACUCAUCUCAUGGCCCUCUUUCUUUGUAUAUAUUUUAGUUAACCUACCACAGUUUCCAUAUAAAUGCCUGUGAAUGUGUUUGAUUUACCCCUUUAUGCACUAACAUGGCAGGGGAAUAGAUUACAUGCGACCUACAUAGCAUAAUUAAAUGCUGCUAUCCCCUUGCAAAUGCUGCAAACUAAAUAUGUGUUGGCUCUUUAACAUGUGUAUGUUAAACUUUAAGAAACUGAUUGACAAUUGGUAGCCUAUAAUUUGGGAGGCACUCGCCACUAAUUGGGGGCAUUUCAUUUUUAAAUGAGUGCAAUAUAUGGGGGUGGCAUCUAGAUGGUGUCAGCUGGAUAGUAUCAAAAUGAGUGAUUAGAAGUGAUUUAUGUGCACCGUCAUGAACAUUGACCGCCAAGUUAGUGCGUGAAGGAUGGCAUAGACUUCUGUGCAUGAAGAAUGGCAUAGACUUCUGUGCAUGAAACUCGAAAUAGUAUUUUUUUUUAAAAAUCUCUGACCCUUGCAUUUCUAUUUUAAAAUUAUUUUGUAAUGCUUAAAAUCCAGUUUUUAACAAAUUCAUGUGAUUGGAUAGUCUCAUAUAUUUAUUCCAGGAGGCAUCAAAUGAGUAUACAUAAAGCUGACCCAAAUAGUUGGGAUAAAGCUUGAUGGAUUUAAUACUCAUAAACAUAUAACUUCCUUUGUAGAAAAAGUAAGUUUGUUAUUGUAUUAUGGAGGAUUGGCUCUUGGGAAUGUUGAGAUGCGAUCACGGGCCUCUGAUCAUGGAGGAUCAGCUCCAACUAAAAGGAGUUUUAUUCCAGCAAAAACUCUAGUUAAAGAAACAAAGCGUGGAGAGAAGACAUGAUUCACUUGAGACUUUUUUUCCUUUACUGGAUACUUGCACACACACACACAAACACACACACACACACACACACACACACACAGAGAGAGAGAGAGAGAGAGAGAGAGAGAGAGAGAGAC